CAGCAGCCGCGGUAAUACGGAGGGAGCUAGCGUUGUUCGGAAUUACUGGGCGUAAAGCGCACGUAGGCGGUUUUUCAAGUCAGAGGUGAAAGCCCGGGGCUCAACCCCGGAACUGCCUUUGAAACUAGGAGGCUUGAAUCUUGGAGAGGUCAGUGGAAUUCCGAGUGUAGAGGUGAAAUUCGUAGAUAUUCGGAAGAACACCAGUGGCGAAGGCGACUGACUGGACAAGUAUUGACGCUGAGGUGCGAAAGCGUGGGGAGCAAACAGGAUUAGAUACCCCCGUAGUCCCUGUCUCUUAUAC
rnacentral:rRNA from 1 species